rnacentral:lncRNA from 1 species
GGGCCCUAGGGGCAACCCUGGCAGCUUGAGUCAGCUCCCUCCUCUGAUGUCCUCCUCUGAUGUCCAGUUACUCUAAGGAGAGUGUUUUUGAGGGCCUACUCUGUGCAGGUACUAUGCUGGGUACUGGAGUACAAGCACGCGGAGGACUCAGUCCCUGCCCUUGAGAAACCACAGGAUGGUGGAGGAGACAGAUAAUCAGUGCCUUCUGCACAGAGUGCAGAAUUGGAACACUCUGUCUUGGCAAGUCAUGCCUCCUUGGAGAGCGUUCAGAAGGAGCUGCCCUUUCUGGCCCGGAGCAAACCGAACCUCAGACCUGGAACACUCCUUCAUUCGGCUGACUGCUGCUGCCUCAGCAUCAUCCCUGUGGAAGCCUGCUUCACGUACCGAUGAGGUCGCCCUCCUGUCUGCAUCCCUGAGAGUCAUGGUUACGAUUCUGCACUGGGGGCUUCUUCCCCCACUAGCCUGACACUGUGCUCAGAGAGCUUGUCGCUUGCCCAGUAUCUCACAACAAGGACUCAAACGGAGCUCCCGCUGGCUCCCACCUCCCGGCCUCUGCUCCCUGACACUGGGGAUCCACGACCCCACACCCUCCCAUCUCCUUCCCGGCUCAUCUCCUUCCCAGCUCGUUUCCUCCGGAUGAUAAGAGCUGGGUGGUAAUAUUACAUACUCUUCCUUUCCAAUUGCAACUCUUCAUUGCUUUUGGCAGCAAAAGCUCUGCUCAGGGUCAAGAUGAGAGAGUGACUGGUACUAGCCAAAGAAAAUUGAGAUGGAUUCUUACAGCGCAUUGAAUGAGGGCCCCCCAAAUAUAUGUCUGCAUCCUGAUCCCCAGAAUCUGUGCAUGUUACUUGAUCUGGAAAAAGGGUCUUUGCAGACAUAAUUCAAUUAAGAAUCUUGAGAUGACAUCUCCCUGGAUUAUCCAGUGGGCUUUAAAUUAGAUGACCUGUGUCCUUAUUAUUAGAAGGGCAGAGAGAGGUUUGAAACAGACAGAAGAGAAGACGAUGCUGAGAGGAGAAGGCGGUGUGAAGACAGAGGCAGAGAUUGGACUGAUGUGGUUACAAACCAAGGAGUGUCGGCAGCCACUAGAAAGGAAGAGAGAGUCAUGGAGUGGAUUCCCUCCCAGAGCCUCGGAAGGAAGUGUGGCCCCACUGACAGCACGAUUGUGGACUUCUGCCUCCAGAACUUGAGAGAGUACAUUUCUAUUGUUUUAACUCAUCCAGUUGGCGGUAAUUUGUUACAGCAGCCCUAUGAAAGUAAUAGAAUUCUCAAAUGCUAUCUGCUCACAAAUUUCAACGUGAAAGAUAUAAACACCCAAACCUCAGUCCAGAUUCCAAUGGUGAGAAGCCCCCAUGGAAGCCUCGACAGCCCCUUUGGACUCAGCAGUCCCGCGGAGUAUUUCCCCAGGGUUUCCUGACGCCCCUGCCUCCUCCCUCAGAGCUUUGACCCUGCCACUCUAUUGCGGGUCCUGUGUAACCUUCCCCAGAAAUACACUUGGCUGAGCCCCACACCGCAG